rnacentral:tRNA from 1 species
UGAGGCAUGGCUCAGGGUAGAGUGCAUGCUUAGCAGGCAUGAGGUCCUGGGUUCAGUCCCCAGUACCUCCA